rnacentral:misc_RNA from 1 species
CUAUAUGUGAAAAGAAAUACUUGACAUUAAGUUAUUAUACUAUGAUUGAGCUACUAUUUGUACAUAACUUGUUUGAUCACUUAGAUUACACUUUAAAAAUAGAGUUAUACACAAACUUAAAAGUGUCUAGCCACAAUUUUUCACUAAGCCUUGAGCAAUGAUUGAAAAAUUACCUGAAGUGUCCAAUUCAUCAUUCUUUUGGUCAUUUUCUUUAGGACAACAAUAGGAUACUAGGGUACAACACACUACGAUAGUUGACAUCAAAGUUAUUAAAAAAACUUGGGAGAAUCAAAGCAUCAAGCUUCAGAAUUGUACAAGGCAAUAGGAUGCAAAGGGGGAAAAUGUAGUUUAGCACUGGAGCAUAACAUAAUAGACAAAAGUAGAAAAAUGCAAUGUCAGGGGAGGAAAAAAAGAGCAAGUGCAAGAAGAAUAAAGUAAAACAAAAAAAAUUAAUCAA